GUGGGGAAUCUUGCGCAAUGGGCGAAAGCCUGACGCAGCCAUGCCGCGUGAAUGAUGAAGGUCUUAGGAUUGUAAAAUUCUUUCACCGGGGACGAUAAUGACGGUACCCGGAGAAGAAGCCCCGGCUAACUUCGUGCCAGCAGCCGCGGUAAUACGAAGGGGGCUAGCGUUGCUCGGAAUUACUGGGCGUAAAGGGCGCGUAGGCGGAUCGUUAAGUCAGGGGUGAAAUCCCAGAGCUCAACUCUGGAACUGCCCUUGAUACUGGCGAUCUUGAGUGUGAGAGAGGUAGGUGGAACUCCGAGUGUAGAGGUGAAAUUCGUAGAUAUUCGGAAGAACACCAGUGGCGAAGGCGACAUACUGGCUCAUUACUGACGCUGAGGCGCGAAAGCGUGGGGAGCAAACAGGAUUAGAUACCCUUGUAGUCC
rnacentral:rRNA from 1 species